CUACAGAGGGUGCGAGCGUUAUCCGGUAUCAUUGGGCGUAAAGAGCUCGUAGGCGGUUCAGCAAGUCGGCUGUGAAAGUUCGAGGCUCAACCUCGAAAUUGCGGUCGAUACUGCUGUGACUCGAGUCCGGUAGAGGAGAAUGGAAUUCUCGGUGUAGCGGUGAAAUGCGCAGAUAUCGAGAGGAACACCAGUAGCGAAGGCGGUUCUCUGGGCCGGCACUGACGCUGAGGAGCGAAAGCGUGGGGAGCAAACAGGAUUAGAUACCCCGGUAGUCC
rnacentral:rRNA from 1 species